AGCGAACGUAUCACUUAAAGCGAUUCAGCGGGUUACGAUUGACGGAGCGAAGCGACGUCAAAGCGUAUACAAAGUCGAGUCGGUUUAAGGAUACGUUCGUUGGGUAGGGGAGCGUUCUGUAAGCCUGCGAAGGUGGCCUGUGAGGGUUGCUGGAGGUAUCAGAAGUGCGAAUGCUGACAUAAGUAACGAUAAAGCGGGUGAAAAGCCCGCUCGCCGGAAGACCAA
rnacentral:rRNA from 12 species